CAAGACCCUGAGAUUCUUGCUGUGGAGCAGGAGAACCAGAGACUUGAAGAGGAAAUCUUCAGAAUCCAGCCGGCCAGGGAGAGACACAAAGGGGAACACGCUCAAGUGGUUUCUGUUCGUUGUAAUCAUUGGCUCAGGGCCUCAUGAUAUCCAGAAGGACCACAUACAUCACAUGGCUAACCUCCAGGCUGAGAUCACCUUUCUAAGGAGAGAAAUAGGAAAGGGGAGAGAAAGAAGGCUACCGCCUCCAUCUCUUCUACCUCUUUUGCCCUCUCUCAACCUAACACACCCUGCUCUGGCACUGAUGCACAACACAGUAAUAUCUAAAGGUCUGGAUUCAUACAACCAUGAAAUUGAGGGAUUUGUGUCUUGAGGCUGGGCAAAGCUUUAACUCUUUGACCAGUACAACCAGGCAUUCAGUGGUCAUUGGAGGGUUCCAUUACACUCUCUCCCUG